UACAGAGGGGGCAAGCGUUGUUCGGAAUUACUGGGCGUAAAGGGCGCGUAGGCGGCCGCCUAAGUCAGACGUGAAAUCCCUCGGCUCAACCGGGGAACUGCGUCUGAUACUGGGUGGCUUGAAUCCGGGAGAGGGAUGCGGAAUUCCAGGUGUAGCGGUGAAAUGCGUAGAUAUCUGGAGGAACACCGGUGGCGAAGGCGGCAUCCUGGACCGGCAUUGACGCUGAGGAGCGAAGGCCAGGGGAGCAAACGGG
rnacentral:rRNA from 1 species